UUGUAAACUUGACCUCAAAUCAGGUAGGACUACCCGCUGAACUUAAGCAUAUCAAUAAGCGGAGGAAAAGAAACUAACAAGGAUUCCCCUAGUAACUGCGAGUGAAGCGGGAAGAGCUCAAAUUUUGAAUCUGGCAGUCUUUGGCUGUCCGAGUUGUAAUCUAGAGAAGUGUUUUCCGUGCUGGACCGUGUACAAGUCUCCUGGAAGGGAGCGUCAUAGAGGGUGAGAAUCCCGUCUCUGACACGGACUACCAGUGCUAUGUGAUGCGCUCUCGACGAGUCGAGUUGUUUGGGAAUGCAGCUCAAAAUGGGUGGUAAAUUCCAUCUAAAGCUAAAUAUAGGCGAGAGACCGAUAGCGAACAAGUACCGUGAGGGAAAGAUGAAAAGAACUUUGGAAAGAGAGUUAAACAGUACGUGAAAUUGCUGAAAGGGAAACGCUUGAUGUCAGUCGCGUCGUCUGGGGAUCAACCUUGCUUUUCUGCUGGGUGCAUUUCCUGGUCGAUGGGUCAGCAUCGGUUUCGGUCGCUGUACAAUGGCAGAGGGAAUGUGGCACUCUUCGGAGUGUGUUAUAGCCUUUUGUCGUAUGCAGUGGUUGGGACUGAGGAACUCGGCACGAUUUCGGUC
rnacentral:rRNA from 1 species